rnacentral:rRNA from 1 species
AACGAACGCUGGCGGCAUGCCUAAUACAUGCAAGUCGAACGAUCACUUCGGUGGUAGUGGCGCACGGGUGCGUAACGCGUGGGAAUCUGCCCUUGGGUUCGGAAUAACAGCUGGAAACGGCUGCUAAUACCGGAUGAUGACGAAAGUCCAAAGAUUUAUCGCCCAGGGAUGAGCCCGCGUAGGAUUAGCUAGUUGGUGGGGUAAAGGCCUACCAAGGCGACGAUCCUUAGCUGGUCUGAGAGGAUGAUCAGCCACACUGGGACUGAGACACGGCCCAGACUCCUACGGGAGGCAGCAGUAGGGAAUAUUGGACAAUGGGGGCAACCCUGAUCCAGCAAUGCCGCGUGAGUGAUGAAGGCCUUAGGGUUGUAAAGCUCUUUUACCAGAGAUGAUAAUGACAGUAUCUGGGGAAUAAGCCCCGGCUAACUCCGUGCCAGCAGCCGCGGUAA